rnacentral:rRNA from 1 species
AUGACCGUGCCCAACCACCCGAUUCCGCGCCUCUCGCCGGGAACCGCCGACGACGAGGGCCACGCCGGCGAUCUCCCCUCAGCCCGCCCGCCUCCUCUUUCCUCUCUGUUCUCCUCCUCUCUCCGCCUCAUGUUCAGCAGCGACCGCCCAAACUCGCCCCGAUCCAUGGCCAUCUCCUUCCGCCCAGCACCAGUCCGUCAUCGGUCGUCCGUGGCACGAGCGCGCGCCUCCUCUUCAACCUCCUCAUCCCGCUCCACUCCUCCUGGACUGCCCACGUGCGCCUCCCGAGCCCCCAUGGACGCCUUCUACGGAGCCGCGGUAUUGACGGUUGACCGCCGCCAUGACCGGCCUGGUUCUUAUUUGUCUCUUCUUUGGAUGAACUUUCUGAACACAAUCUGA